rnacentral:lncRNA from 1 species
UGAUGUCAAAGCUAUCAAGAAGAGAAUAGAAGAUUUGAUAACUAGAGAUUACCUAGAGAGGGACAAAGAUAAUCCAAACCUGUUCAAGUACUUGGCAUGAUUUGUGCAGAUCAUAGUGAAUGAGUGAUGUUUAUAUGAACUUUUGCAAUCGACAUAGGAGGAGAAACAUGCCCCACAAGAUGAGGACAGAUUUCUUUAACUCCUACCUCCCUGGACCUUUGAUUGCCUUGCACCAGGAGCUUGAAACAUUUUGUACAAAUGGUUAAGAUCUCAGGAAAAAGUAGAAUUGCCUCUCAGAUACUUGAGAUGAGAUUGCCUUAACUUCUUCCAAUCCUAUAUGGCCCUUUAGCUUGCUCUAUUAUGUGUUUUGUCGGCUACCUGUUCGAGUUUGAGUAAAUGUAAUAUUCUAAUCAACAGCAACUUAUAGUACAUUCUCUGCAACACUACUUUCUUGGUUCUUUAUAGAUUGUGAUUUGGACCUUGGUGGUCCUUAUGUGGCGCUUUCUUUCAAUCUUGUGCAAGUUUAUUGGAUUCGGACCUUCAUGGCUGGUCCUUAUGCUUUCUUUCAAACUUUGUGGACGUGGAAAACUGGUAGCUUGGGGAUGGCAUUCAGGCCAGAAUCUAGAUUAUAUAGCUUUGUAGAUUCGAAAAUACCAGCUCGAUAUAGUAACACUCUUAAAGUUACUAAAAUAUGCUAUUUAAAAUUGCAAAACUAGCUAGUAUUAGAAAUUAUGAGAAAUAUCAUUGGUUACAUAACCUGGAUAAGUUUGUUAUGGUCUCUUGACACCAAUCAUCCUUGAGCCUAGAGCCAAAUUUCAUGCUUGUGAAAGUUGAUGAUAUUGGUGAUAGAGGCCUUUUAGGUGGCAUAAUAGCCUUUAUGCCCUAGUAUCCGUAACUUAUUUACCCUUUAAGUAAGCAUUUACAUGAGAGAAGAAGACAUCUCAUCUUCACUAAUAAAAUACAAUUUCAUUUCUUAGUUUUGAGAAUAUGGAAAAGAUCCUUAAUCUUGUUAUUUUCUUGCUUUUGUUAUUAUAUCAAUUUCAUAUUCUAGUUCUUAUGGGCAUAGUCAAAAAAUGUUUCUUCAUUAUUGUUUCGUCGAUUUAGUCUCCCUCCCCCNNNNNNNNNNNNNNNNNNNNNNNNNNNNNNNNNNNNNNNNNNNNNNNNNNNNNNNNNNNNNNNNNNNNNNNNNNNNNNNNNNNNNNNNNNNNNNNNNNNNNNNNNNNNNNNNNNNNNNNNNNNNNNNNNNNNNNNNNNNNNNNNNNNNNNNNNNNNNNNNNNNNNNNNNNNNNNNNNNNNNNNNNNNNNNNNNNNNNNNNNNNNNNNNNNNNNNNNNNNNNNNNNNNNNNNNNNNNNNNNNNNNNNNNNNNNNNNNNNNNNNNNNNNNNNNNNNNNNNNCCCCAUCCCACCCCAAAAACAAAUAGAAGGGUGAGAUCGAUAUUAAUUCACUUGUUCUUGAUCCCCAAUUUUACAAAUUUGACUAUUAGUACAACACAUGUUUAGCUAAACAAAUUUCUUCAAACAUGUUAUUUUUUCUUGAAUGGCAAUUCAACAUUUGAAGGGUAGAGCUAUAAUGAUUAGUAUAUGAACUAUGAAGAUAUGGUGUCUCCUGUCAUAAUAUGUGAAGCUUGGAUUAAGAAGAUAAAUAAAUGAAAGUUCUUCCCUAUAUAAUACAAUUCUUCCAUAUCAAUUUGUUUGAUCUACUUUCCUUUUUAGUCCAUUUAAAAAAGAUUGAAAUUUUCCUUUUUUAACAGUUUUUAUUUUAACUUUCCACUUGACAUGUAUAAGUUCACAAAAUUAAAAAGUAUUUUGAUACAUUUGAGAGAUCUUUAAUUUUUUAUCAUAAGAUUAAAAGGUCACUUAAUUUGAAACAAAGAGAGUGUAUGUUAUGAAAUAUUAAGAUGAUGGAUAUUAAUGUCCAUAUGCACUUGUAUUUGGUGGAUGUCAAUGUUCAUUUGCACUAGUAAACUUGACUUUCCAAGUUACUUGAGACUUGUAAAUAACUUACAUUGUAUAUAAAAAUUGAUAGAUACAAUUGGAAGUAUAAGAAAGCUCUUCUUUCUUCUCCCUGUUUUUAUUGCUCUCUUAUAGUAGUAUUUAUCUUAUUUUGCUUUGAUUUUAUAACAUGUUAUCAACAUGAGUUUCUAAUUUAUUCUAAAGAUAUGCAUGAUAUGAAUAACAAAAAUGUGAGAUCUUCCUAUAAGUAUCUGGGUAUGUAUUUUACCAAUGAUUUACUUGCAAACAGGAUUUAUGUCAUAAUAUCACCUUCCCUUGUUAUAUAACAUUGAUUUGAUAACCAAAAAUCUUAAAAGGUUGUCUGAAUCUUAUUGCUGCUAUGUUUAAUACGUUUAUGUUUGCAUUAUUGUUGACAUAAUUGUUGCAUCAAUUGUAAAUGAAUCUUAGUUUCUAUUGUCAUUGCUAGUAACCUAAUUUUUAAGAAUUUGUUCUAGGGAGGACCCUCUGAUCUAUCAAUAAAAAGAUAUCCAUGUGUGGGGCGAUAAAUAAUCCUAGAAAAGUUUGAUUGAAACUCCCUCCACAUCCCACGAAGAUCUCUACACACUUGUGCAGGACAAGUGAGAUCUUUGAUCUGCGUGCUUGAGAGCAGCUCAAACAAACUAUUUGGUGUGGUCUGAAUUCAAACAUGCUAGUCCGUCUGCUGCUAGGUCAAAAAAUGACGUCGUGUGAGGGCGCCUUUAUGCCCCUUAAUGAAUCAAAUGGUCGUUCGAUCUUUGUUUGAUUUCGACGACCUGCAUAGAUUUCAUGAGAUCGGUCCACUAUUAUUACGGAAAAAAAAUCCUACCCUCUCUUUACAGUUAAGUGACUUUCAGUUCCUUCGCUUCGCUAUUAGGAAAGUAAGCAACUUCUAUUAGUGUUGGAUCUUAAUAAGACUGGGCACCGCAUCGGAACGGGACCAUCGAAUCGGAAUGAACCGAUACUGGAUCGGAAUGGGAUGGUUUGACCGGGUCGUUGAUCGGUACCAGAAUGAGCCAGACCGAAACUAUCGGAAUGGAGGCUUGGUUCCGUUCCGUCCCACUAUAUAUCGGGAUAGAACCGGAACAGACCGGAAUGGAACGGGAUGGGAUAAACAGGACGACACAUAUAGCUAUUUUAAAAAAUAAUACUCCCUCUGUCCCAAUUUAUAUGACUUACUUUCCUUUUUAGUCAGUCCCAAAAAGAAUGACACAUUUCUAUUUUAAGUAACAAUUUGCCUAUAAAAUGUCUUUUUACCCUUAAUGAAAUAAUUUACAACCACACAAAUUUCUAUCAUUCAUUUUGGACCACAAGUUUUAAAAGUCUUUCCAUUUUUCUUAAAAGUUUGUGCCAAAAUCAAAAGUACAUCAUAUAAAAUGGGACGGAGGGAGUAAUUUUUUUGAGUUAUUUUGAAUUACAAAAAUAUGAAUGUUUUUUUAUUUUUCUAAGUUUAAUAGUUUUGAAAUUUAUAAUGUAAUUUUACUUAAGUUUAUUUUAAAGAUAUUUUUUUAAAUUUUUUACUUAUAUAAGUUCGUAAGUUAAAUUUAAUAAAGUUUUUUUUUAAAGUUUUUGAGCUUAAGUUUUCAACUUUAUAAGUUUAUAAGUUAUAUGUUAUAAGUUAUACUUAUAACUUGUAAUUUAAAUAACUUGUUGCAGGCCUAUUUUUAAUUAAUUAAAAAUAAUUUAUCGGGACCAGAUCGGAUCGGAAUCGGGAUGAACCAGUAUCGGUAUACCGAUAUCAAAUCAUGAUACCAUUCCAUUCCGAGUACCGAUUCACUGUAUCCCAUUCCGUUUUGAAUACUACCGGAUCGGAAUGGUACCGAAAAUCUUAAGUCAAAUUGAUCGUGUCAUAUGCAAAGUCUAUCAAUAAUGAUUCAUUAAAGUCUAUUGAUUUCGACUCCUCUCCCUUCUUAAUUAUGCGCUCAAUAUUUCAUUUUCUGUGUGUUUUUAAUAAUACAUCUUAUGUGUACUUAUAUAGGAAAAUAAUAAGAUCAACUUAAUAAUCCUAAUGAGACAUAAAAGUACCCCUUAUGGGUAUAUUCAAUUUUCCUACAUCUCCCACUCACAGAUAAUGAGAAUGUCUUUUCAGUCUGAGAACAUAUUCUCAUCUCCACAAUUAUUCAUAUAGGGAAAUUAGACUAUGAGACCAUCAAAUUGUGAAAGCUAAGUGAUAUAUAUGUUAGGAAUAUAUAACCUCUCUUCGAGUUUAAACAUGCAACUAGAUCAUAAAGUAUGCAGUACCUCAUGUCAUAUAAAUUACAUUUGAUAUAUUCUCAAGAUCUCAUAUAUCAUUAUUUCUUGUAUUCAAAAUUAUAACUCAUAAGUUAUAUCUGGUGCAACGAUGAGCACAAAUCAAUGAGAUUUCAUUAAUGAACUUCCUCUUCUCAUGAUGGUUUAAUUGUUUUUCUAGAUAUACUCCUCUAAAUCGAAUAUGUAUUCAUAAGCUUUUAAAAACAUACUAAGAUAGUAAACAUCAAGUAUCUAAUUAAAGUCACUAAGGGCACAUAUUUUGAGCCAUUACUUCUGGGUCUCAUACAACAAUACAAUUAGAAUGGGCUUACGUUAAAUCCAAUUGGUCGAUGUUAGCACACAUGAUAUGAAAAGCAUGCUACAACAUUUGCUUAUUUACCAUAGGCCGUAUAUCUUUGUUUUUUUAAAUAAUGUUGUAAAUAUGAUAUUUAGACACCAUAUAUUCAAAGUUUGAGUUCAUUGAUCAACCCUAUCAUUUUAACUCACAUCUGGCUUACCAAGUAGACUAGGUGAACAUUUUUCACCUUGAUGACCUUAUGUCAUUAUUUAUGCGACAUUCAAAUUUAAGUUGAUUGAGAUUAUUUAUUUGAUAAUUUUACUUAAAAUUCAAUCUUAUCUCUACUUAUCACUAAGACAAGGAGAAAUUUAUCUAUGUGAAAAGGCUAACAUCAUGUCUACUCAACAUAAUUAUAAAAAAAAAACAAAUAGCUGAAUAAGUAAGGAAUGCUCAUAACAUUCAAUAAUUAAAAUAUGUAUUGAUACAAAUAAACUUUAUUGAUAAUUAAAGAACAUCUGUUUUGUGAACAUGAGAAUAAAAAACAAUAUGAAGUAACUCAAAUUCUGCUCAAGUCUUGAGACCUCGUGUGUAUCAUAAAUACAUCUCCAGUCAAUUGAUUAGUCAAUGAAUCUUCUAAUAUAUCUCUUACAUUCUUGAGUUAGUAUCUGUUUAUUAUGAAAUUUUAAACACUUUAUCUUUUGUUAUUGCUUUCAUAUUGGAGUUGAGUUGAGGUGAGUUUGUCUUCCCAUAUUAUCAGUUUAGUUAGCUAUGUUUCAGUUUCCCCUUACAUGCUUGUACAUUCAAUGUACUGACGUCAUUCGACCUGCAUCUUAUAAUGAUGCAUAUACAAGCUUACAAGAUUAUGAACAAGUGCUUCGUUGAGAUCAUUUGACAUUCUAGUUAGCUUUGAUGAGCCUUCUUGUAUUUCGGAGGACUUCAUCUUUACCUUAAAUUUAGUAUUUUUCAUAUGCCGUGGGUCUUAUCCCGAUAUCCUUCAUAAUACUAGAGGCUUCAUAGAUAGAUAGAGUUGAGAAGUUUUUCAGUUGUUACUUUCUUUGAGUUGUUUUACAAACUAUAAGUAUUUCUAUUGAGUAUUGUUCAGACUUUUUGAGUUAAGUAUUUGAGUUUAACAGAUUUGAUUCAGUUUUAAGUGUAUUAUUGCUUGAGUUAGUCUUCCGCUUGUAGUCCGUCAAGAUAAGGGUUUGUUUGUGGACCAUCAAUGGUUCUCGAGUGUCGGCUAUGUCUAGGGUGUAGGCUCGGAUCGUGACAGUCUGAAUACAAAGCUCUUGAUAUAUAAAUCUUAUGUCUGUUACGUUAAAAAUGGAUUAAUCAAUUUACAAUUCCAUAAAACACGCAAUCACUGCUAAUCAAUCCCUCAUAAUGUGUAUCAACUUCAACAAUUCAAAAUUGUUCAAGCAGAUCGUCCAACAUCCUUUCAACUUUGAUUCAAAAUUUUCACAAAUUUGGAGAAGAUACAUCGUGAAUAUAUCAAUUUUGCUAAGAUAUUCAUGAAUCUAAAAAAAUUUGAAGGUAUAAAUGAUACGGAAGCGAUAGAAUCGUUGUUAGAAAAAUAUUUCAUUUGUGAAUCUAAAAUUAGCAUUGCAACUGAAUUGAGGAAAAAACUAGACAUUAGAUACAUCAUAAAAGAUAAUUUUAAUUCAUGACCAAACACACCUAAAGACACUUAAUACAAAGUUGAUAUUGAAUUCUGAUACAUAACCAUAUGUAUUGUGUUGGCUUUGAACUAGGGUGUUCAGUUAUGUAUUCGAUACAUAACAGUGGGUGUUGUAUGUAUCAGGCAAAAAACAAAAAUAAACAUUAGAUACAUCGUAGAAGAUAAUUCUAAUACAUGACUAAACACACCUAUAUAAAUCUGAUACAUAAAUUCUAAUGCAUAACCAUGUGUCAGCUUUGUAUUCAGUGUGUUUAGUUAUGUAUUUGAUACAUAACAAUGAAUAUUGUAUGUAUCGUGUAUUAAAAUAUAAUGAAAGCUUGCAUAGUUAUGUAUCAGAUACAUAACUAUAAACAAGAUUCAUACUGAUUUAGGUUUGAAAUAAUUGAGGUUAUGUAUCAACAAUAACAUUUGUGUCAAAUACAUUAUACACAAACAAAGUUGUAAUGUAUCUAAUAGUUGAAACAUAAACAUGAUACAUAAGUAAACACACAUGAACCAGUUACAUUAAAAAUUUGAAUCAUGGGUAGAGAAGACCGUAUAGUAAAACCAUCGACUCCUCCCCCCCCCCCCCAAUUUUUUUGAAGGUCAAUACUAAACUAUGGACCAGAAUUCAUAUGUAUCAGAACUUUAGGAUGAAGAAUAUAAAAUAAAAUAAAAAGUCAAAAUCUGAUCAACUGAAAGCAAACAAAGGUGAUGAAGAAAUCCUUUUACUUUUUUAAGAACUUGAGACUGAUGGGAAAAAAUCCGAAAUAACACGGUUGUAAUUCAAAAAUGGUGACUUGGAGGAAAUUGUUGAUACAUGCCAUGAUUUUAGGCAUUAAAUUGGGGAAGUUACGCGUGAAGAGUGAUGCAUCCGAGAAUAAGAGAGAUGGUGAAGAAAAUAGGAAACUUUGUAAUUUUUUCAAAAUGAUACGAAAUUUUAGAAAAUAUGGUAAAAAGGUUGCGUAGUUGGAUAUUUUUACCUUAAUAAUUAUGUUUAUGAUUUUGACUAGUUAGCUAAUUUUCCCAAAUAUAAAAUAAUAACAAUUUCAUAGCCCAAUCCAAACUAAUUCAGCAAAUACUCAUUCUCCCAAAAUGAAUUACAGUCCAUAUCCCCCCUUUAGUUUAGGCCAAAUUUCCUUUCAACCCCUUUAAAUUUAGGCCGAAUCACCCUAACCCUUUUAAAUUUAGGUCCAAUUGGCCCAACCCAAUUUUUUUGUCCUAUUAUUUUGUUCUUUUUUCUCAUUUAUUAUUUUUAUCCUAUCAUUAAUUACUUUUAUUCUUUCUCAUUUAUUAUUUUUAUUAUUUCUUUUAUUAUUUUUAUUCUUUUUAUGUUAUUCUUUAUUAGAGAUAUCAUUUAAUAUUUUUUUUAUUUUUUAUUUUUGUUAGUUUAUCUUCUUUUUAAUUUUUUUCUCUUUCUAUAUUUUUACCUUUUUAAGAAAAUAAAAUAAAUUACCUUUGUUCUUUUCUUAUUUAUUAUUUUAAUUUUAUCUUUUAUUCUUUUUUCAUAUAUUAUUUUUAUUCCUUUUUCCAUAUUAUCCUUUAUUAGAAAUACCAUUUGGUAACAUUUUUAUCUUCUUUUUUUUUCUUUUUUGUAUUAGUUUAUCUUCUUCUUUUUCUUUUUUUUUUUCUUUCUAUAUUUUUACCCUUUUAAGAAAAUAAAAUAAAUUAUUUUUGUUCAUCACUUUUGUUUUUUUUUUCUUAUUUUUUGUUUUUUUAUUUUCUCAUUAAUAUUUUUAUUCUUUUUUUCAUUUUAUCCUUUAUUAGAGAUACAAAUUGAUAAUAUUUUUAUUAUUUGUUUUUUUCUCCGUCUUUUUUUUAAAUUUUUUUUUGUCCUUUCCCCCUUUUUGUUAGUUUAUCAUCUUUUAAUUUUUUGUUCUCUUUCUAUAUUUUACCUUUUUUAAGAAAAUAAAAUAAAUACAAAAAACUACUUUCAUAGUAAUAAAAACAAACAACUAGACUACAAUAAUAACUAAAUAAGAAAAAUACAUAAUUAUGUGAUUUUGGGUCUGUAUAAACUACAUUUGACAUUUAGUGUGGUUUUCUUAAAAAUAAAUAUAGAAUUAUGUGUCAUUUUACUUUUCUUCCCACAAUAUUCAGUAUUUGAUUCUUCUGCUUCCGUCCUAAAUGAUACCAUAUCAGUAUAUGAUAUGUUGUGAUGAAAUCAUUGAGAAAUGAGUUGGUUAUAUAUGAAUAGUUGUCGGAAACCUUAAUAAUACCAUAACAAUAUAUGAAUAUAUGAAAAGAGUACUUAAUGAUACCUUAACAAUAUAUGAAUAUAUGAGAACAAUACUUAAUGAUACAUGUCAGUAUGUUAUAUGUUGUGAUGGUAUCAUUGAGAAAUGAGUUGGUUAUAUAUGAAUAGUUGUCGGAAACCUUAAUAAUACCAUAACAAUAUAUGAAUAUAUGAGAACAAUACUUAAUGAUACAUGUCAGUAUGUUAUAUGUUGUGAUGGUAUCAUUGAGAAAUGAGUUGGUUGUACAUCAACAGUUGUAGGAAACCUUAAUGAUACCAAAUCAGUAUAUGAAUAUAUAAAACAAUCCUUAAUGAUAUCAUAUCAGUAUAUGAUAUGUUGUAAUGGUAUCGUUGAGAAAUGAGUUGGUUGUAGGAAACCUCAAUGAUACCAUAGCAGUAUAUGAAUAUAUGAAAUAGUUCUUAAUGAUACCAUGUUAAUAUAUGAUAUGUUGUGAUGGUAUCAUCGAGAAAUGAGUUAGAUGUACAUGAAUGGUGGUAAGAAACCUUAAUGAUACCCAAUAUAUGAAUAUAUUCUUAUGGUAUCAUUAAGUAAUGAGUAAUUUUGCAAAUGAAUGAAUGAAGUAAACCUUAGUGUUACCACAACAGUAUAUUCAUAUACUAUAACAAUAUUAUACAUGAUCUAAGGUGUGUUCCAAUAUAUUAAAUAGUCAUUCAUUCUACAUAUGUUGUGAUGGUAUCAUUGAGAAAUCAUGAAUUCAUCCCUUGAAGGACUGCUCAUUAGUCUAUGAUACCAUGGUAUUAUAUAUAUAAUGUGUUGGCCUAACCUAUUGGUAGCCCCCUAAAGUUGGCACAAUGUUUCACUUAGACACCUUAACUGAGCGAUAUUCAUUUUAGACACUCCGGGUAGAAUCUCACAGUGCCAUUUUGACACUUUUUACUUACAUGGCAUAAUGAGUGUGAUACACUCAUUGGUAGGCGCAUGAAGUGGUUAUUUAGUUACUUUUUAAUUUUUUAUUUCUUCUUCUCCAUUUUCAACCACCAUUUUUCUCCAAGUUAAAUCUCAUCCAUUGUAAAUGAAGGUUUCAACAAAAAUAAUGGAAUUAUUCAUUAAAUUCUUUGCGCUGGGGGAGGCCGGGGGGUUAUUUGGAGAUAAGAAAAAAUCAACUGGUUGCACAGCGUUCUGCAAAAAGAGGUCGGGUAUUUGGCGGAGAAAACACGGGAGGUGGUUGCAGAAGGCGAUCGGGUUUGGGGUGGGGGGGGGUUAGAGAAGACGAUGGGGUGGGGAUUUGGAGCAGGCGAUUUGGGGUUGUGGGGGUAGUUUAAAUUUUAUUUUAUUUUGUUAUUAUUUGGGGAGUUUAUUUUAUUUUGUAAUUAUUUGGGGAAAAAAUAUUACGUGUCAUUAAUUUAAUGGUCAAUUUUUAUUUUUAUUCAACAUUAAUUAUUUAAAAAUUACUUUUGACAUAAAUGAUAAAUGUCGUGGUUUAAUUCGUCAAUUUACACAUCAUCUGCGAGUGUAAUAUACACACAUUAUAUGUUUUUGUUGAUAUUAAAAAAAGGUAUCAAAAUGACACAGCGGGAUCCUACAUAAGGUGUCUAAAAUGAACAUCGUCCAGUUAAGGUGUCUAAGUGAAAUAUCGUGCCAACUUUAAGGGGUCACCGAUGGAUUAGGCCUUAUGUGUUGGUAUCAUUGAAGAAUGAGUUGGUUGUACAUGAAUGAAUGUAGGAAACCUUAAUGAUACCAUAUGAGUAUAUGUAUAUAUUGUUAUUGUAUCAUCAAUGAAUGAUUAGUAUUGUGAACGAAUGAAGGAAGAAAGGAAAUAUUAGUUUUCCCAAAUUACUUUAAGAGGAACUUUCACAAAUAGCCACUAAAAUCAUUUUAAUUAGGUUUCAUAGUUAUAGUUUGCUAAUUACGAUUCGUAGCUAGUAGCUACAUAUUAGAGGGAGAAGAGAGGUGAGAGAGAUUGGGAGAGGGAGGAGAGAGGCGAGCGAGAGAGGGCAGAGAGUGGAGAGAGGCGAGUUGUAUAUGUAUAUCUGUCAGAUAAUUGUAUAUAUGUAACCGAUGUACAUAUUUAUUUGUAUACCUAGCGAGUGAGAUUGGGAGAGGGAGGAAAGAGGCGAGCGAGAGAAUGCAUAGAAUGGAGAGAGGCAAUUGCAUUAGUAUAUCUGUCAUAUAAUUAUAUAUGUAUAUGUAUAAUUUGUAUUUGUAUUUGUAUAUGUAUAAGCGAGGAGAGAGACGAGAGAGAGGAAGAAAGGAGAGACACACACGUAAUUAUAGCUACAAUUGAGUUGCAAAUCAUAAUUAAUUCAAACUAUAAUUAUAUUAGCUAAUUAAUUAGUAUAUGUUUGAUCAUCCGCGUAAUUUCCCCUUAAUUUAAUCGGGCCAUUAGCCCAAUCUACAAUACUUCUGAAAGUGGGCCUUCUGCCUAUUCAUUAUUGUAGCCCUCAAAAAUUAAAUGGGCUUUAAGCCCAAAUGUUUUAAUGUUUAAUCAGGCCAUUAGCCCAAUUUACAAUACUUUACCUUCUGCCUAUUAAUUAUGAUAGCCUUCAAACAUUAAGUGGGCUUUAAGCCCAAAAUAUUUAUCUUAAAAAAAAUAAAUGCAGUUGCUUAGGGAACCAACAAGUUUUAUGUAUUUUAAAAACUUUUCCCCUUGUGCUGGUUAGAACAAUUUCAAAAUUAAUUCAUUUUUCAUAGAUGAGACUGGUACUUAUUUCUUUGUGAAUUCAUUUAAUAUAACUGCUCAAUGUUUUGCAUUCAACUAGUGUUCUUCCUCAACAAGCAUAUAAGAGAGAUGUGGUUGGUUUGAAGGAAUAGGUAAUCCCUUAGUUCCUUUAAUAUGUUUUCGUUGAUGAGCUUACUUCUGAAUUUUCAGUUUUUGUUCGGAAAGUGAUUGAGCUUCAUGAUAAAUAUUUGGACUAUGUGAAUAAUUGUUUCCAAAACCACACACCUUUUCACAACUAUAGUUAUCUAAUUUAAUGUCCUACUCUAUGCAUUAGGGUAAAAGUAAAUUGCUCUAUAGAUCCCCUUCUCUUCUUUUUCCUCUAGAGCAUCUGCUUUUUCUUCAUAAUACUAGAGUAGGAGAAUGCUGAUAAUAGAUCUCACUUGCAGGUAGUGUAGCUGCUAGUUUAUAUUAGUGAUAAAGACUUGUUUGCAGAAUUCUAUAAGUAGAGUUACCUCUAGUGUGUAUCUCAACCACUACUUGCAUAGUAGCUUCUUCUCUGUUAUUUGAUAAGAGUGCCAAUGAGAGAAGUAUCCUAACAAAGUUGAAGCAGCAGUGUGGGGGACAGUUCACAUCAAAGAUGGAGGGAAUGGUAAGCUAUCUAGAUCAAUUAUGCUGAAUUUGAGGCUAUGUUCUCUGGUGACUUUCUUCUUCUCUUUCUAUAGGUCACAUAUUUGACAUUGGCAAGGGAAAAUCAAGGCAACUUUGAGGAGUAUUUGAGCAAUAAUCCAAUAGCAAAUCCAGGAAUUGACUUGACGGUAACUGUCUUGACUACUGGCUUCUGGCCUAGCUACAAGUCUUUUGAUCUCAACCUCCCAGCAGAAAUGGUAUAUCAUAUCAAUAUGUUAAUUGGCAUUAUGCAGUUGAUUUUAUCUUGGUUUUGACCCUUAUUCCUCUUGCUGAAGUUCUUCUCUUUCGGCAAAGAAUGAUGCAUGUUUUUUUUCUUGAAUCAUUUUUCUUCUCAAACAUCUUGUCAUUGAUUCAUUUUAUGCUGCACAUUGUCAGGUUAAGUGCGUUGAAGUAUUCAAGGAGCUCUAUCAAACAAAAACAAAGCACAUGAAACUUACAUGGAUAUACUCUUUGGGAACUUGCAACAUAAAUGGAAAUUUUAAGCCAAAGACUAUUGAGCUCGUUGUCACUACUUAUCAGGUUGACUGUUGGCUUACUUUUUGAAAUUGGAUAGGCUUAGUUAAUUUAAAACAUUUUUAUUACGUUAUCAAUGAGAAAAUGAGAUUGGCACUUCUUCCUCGUAGGCUUCUGCUCUGCUACUCUUAAUGCAUCAGAUAGAUUGAGUUAUCAGGAAUUCAUGACACAAUUAAACUAUCAGAUGAUGAUGUUGUUCGGCUUCUUCAUUCCCUUUCAAGUGUGAAGUACAAGACUCUCAACAAGGAGUCAAGCACCAAAACAAUUUCUCUGACUGAUGUUUUGAGUUCAACUCAAAGUUCACUGACAAAAUGAGGAGGAUCAAGGUAUUGAUUAAUGAUGAGUAAGGUUAGCCUUUCUACUCUGAAUUGUUGCACUACAUUACUGACCCCAUGAGGAUAUUGCUGUAAUGGUAUGCAGAUACCUCUCCCUCCUGUUGAUGAGAAGAAAACGGUAAUUGAAGACGUUGACAAGGAAAGGCGGUAUGCUACAGAUGCUUCAAGUAGUUGGGGUGGGGGAUUGGGUGGGUAAGAGGAGACAAUAAACUUGGAAUGUCGCAGUGUCACUUAUGCAACUCGUUUUUCAUAUAUUCAUUAGGAAAGUCAUUUUCCUAGAGAAAAUAUUUUUCUAACAUUUUGACCAAUCAAAUAUAGAAAAUGUGAAAAACAUACACAAAUUCUCACUAUUUCCAUUUUUGCCAAGGUAAUUUCUUGGUUUUUCAUUCAGGGUUUUUGGAAAUUUAUCCCUACUAUUUUUGGGUUUUAUGCAUUUUUACCUCAAUUGCUUGAGUACUCUCUUUCUUUUUUGUUUCUUUUAUUGAGAAUGUCGUCUACUUUUACUUCACGACAUUCUCAAAAAAGAAAAAAGAUAGUACUCAAGCAGUUGAGGUAAAUAUGCAUAAAACCCAAAAAUAGUAGCGAUAAAUUUGCAAUAACCUUGAAUGAAAAACCAAGAAAUUACCGUGGCAAAAAUGGAAUAGUUAGAAGUAUAAGGGGGUUUUCGAGGAAACAGGAAAAACACAUAAAAGGGGGAAAAGAUUCACAAAUCACCCUAUUCUCUUCUUGUCAUAAAUGGUUCCACACUGGAUUUACAGGUUGUACUUUUCCCAUUAGUCCAUAAGGAUCGGACACCCAUAUUCCGGGACCAUACAAGCUUGUUACAUUAAAUGCACCAAAACCAAAACAAGCCACCCCUGAGAGAAAUAAAUGAAUUUCAAAGAGGGUUUUCCUGUACAUUCAUCACAAAAUAUUUCUAGAUCCCAAUACAAUACACCCAAUGCCAGAUAGCUGCUAGCUCCGUCUUUUUCCCUCAUCAGGUCUAACUCUCCGAUCACCCUUUUCGGAAAAUUCCUUCGCUCUCCGGUGACAUCACAGGUAUAUUUUCCAUUUAAAUUGUGACCUGCGAUUUGAUGUACAUUGUUCCUACGUAUGUAUAUACCUAUGAUGCAUAGUUGAUGUGAUUGUUUUGGUUUAAUUGGAUCUCCCUUUGCUUCAGAUUGAUCCUGUUACUGAUUUUGUUUCCGGUAGCUAUUAAAAUUGUGUUGUUUUGUAACCUGAAUUAACCGUGGUGCACUUGCGGGAAAAUCCUUGCCGAGGGCCUGUGCACCCCCGGGAUUAGUCGGGGCUCAAAGAGACUCGGACACCCGGUGCAAAUCAAANNNNNNNNNNNNNNNNNNNNNNNNNNNNNNNAAAAAAAAAAAAAAAAAAUAAAAAAAAAAAAAAAAAUUUGUGUUGUUUUGUUUAAUUUCAAAAAAAGAAAUUGUGUUGUUUUGCUGUGGUUGAUUUUGCGAUCUUCAGAGCUGAGAUUGAUUGACUAGUUUUAUGUUGUUUUUUAUUUCUCUAUAGUUGAUUUGAGCACGAGUGUUUCGUCCUUUUGAAAUUAGGUAUAGUGGAAGUUUAGUGUUCAUUACUGGUAGGGUUUGAGUUUAAUUUUUGGUUCAUUCUUUGUUGCAACUAACGACAUCCUUGUAAACUAGAAAUUCAAUAGGAAUAACUGAUUCCAGAACUUUGUUUUAUUUCGUUAACUGCCUGAAACUUUAGAUUUUUCAGCUAUGUUGUUUGGACUCUUCAAAAAUGUCAACAGGUGUGUGUCGGAUCCUCCAAAAAUAGUGUUUUUUGAAGGAUCCGACCAACUUAGCUUUUCAGUGUCUUUGAUGAGUGUAAUUUAAUGGAAGAUUUUUUUCUUAUUCCAGUAGGUGAACAAUGAAUAAAUACAAUACAUAAAGUGCUAAGUGCUAACUAAGGAAAGAAAUUAAGAGUGAUUCCUAUAGAUCUGCAGUGAUCCCUAUAAAUCUGCUGCCCAUAUAUAGCUAUGUAUAUUACUAAGAUUAAGUCUAUAUACAUUCUAUAACACUCCCCCUCAACCUGGAGCAUAUAUGUUGAUCAUGCCCAGCUUGUUACAAAGAUAAUCAACUCGAGUUCCAUUCAACGUCUUUGUGAGCAAAUCAACUACUUGCUCUCUUAUCUUCACUUAGCUAGUGGAAGUCAGUUUUCCUGAAUCUUCUCACGAAUAAAAUGACAGUCAACCUCAAUGUGUUUAGUUCUUUCAUGACACAUCAGAUUUGAGGCAAUAUGCAAGGCAACUUGAUUAUCACACCAAAGUUUUGUUGGUAUGUGAUGUUCCAACCCAAUUUUAGUUAGAAGAUGAUGUAUCCACAUAAUCUCACAUGUAGACUGUGACAUAGCUUUGUACUCAGAUUCUGCACUGGAUUGAGAUACAACACUUUGCUUCUUACUCCUCCAUAAAACUAGGUUCCCUCCAAAGACAUAAUAGCCUGUAGUUGAUCUCCUGUCAAUUUUGGAUCUAGCAUAGUCAGCAUCUGCAAAACACUCAACACGAGUAUGACUGUGAUUGCUAUAUAAAUCCCAAGUCCAGGGGAUCCUUUCAAGUAACAUAAAAUCUGUUCCAAAGCUGCCCAGUGUUUAACUGUAGGCGAGGACAUAAACUGGCUAACAACACUUACUGCAAAAGCAAUGUCUGGACGAGUGACAACAAGGUAGUUUAACUUCCCAACUAACCUCAUGUAUCUCUCAGGAUCAUCAAAGGGGUCGCCGUCAUCUUUCAUAACCUGCACAUUGGGAGCCAUUUGAGUACUGCAAGGUUUAGCUGCCAACUUUCCAGUGUCUGCAAAAAGAUCAAGAAUAUAUUUUCUCUGAGACAAAAAAAUUCCCUUCUUGCUUCUAUUCACCUAUAUACCCAAAAAGUAUUUCAACUGACCCAAAUCUUUCGUAUGAAACCUAGUAUGCCAGAAGGAUUUGAGGGAAGAGAUCCUCGCAUAAUCACUUCCUGUGAUGACAAUGUCAUCAACACACACAACCAGGAUAGUGCCAACUUUUGAUUGUUAGUAGAAAACUGAGUGAUCACAUUUACUCAUUUUCAUCCCUAACUCCAGGACUACCCCACUGAACUUCCCAAACUAAGCUCAGAGACUCUGUUUCAAGCCAUACACAGACUUCUUCAAAUAACAGAUUCUCCCAUACUCCCCCUGAGCAACAAAACCAGGUGGUUGCUCCAUAUAUACUUCCUCUUGAAGAUCACCAUGAAGGAAUGCAUUUUUGAUAUCCAACUGAUGUAAAGGCCAAUUCUCAGAAACAGCUAAAGAAAUGAACAAGCUGACGGAAGUAAGUUUGGCAACUGAAGAGAAAAAGUCUGAAUAAUCCACUCCAUAAGUUUGAGCAUACCCUUUAGCCAUAAGCCUAGCCUUAAGUCUUGCCACAAAACCAUCUAGAUUAACUUUAACUGUGAACACCCACUUACAUCCCAUUAGUUUCUUCGUGCUAGGUAAAUCCACUAAAUCCCACGUGUGAUUUUCCUCUAAGGCGUGUAUUUCCUCAAGCAUCGCAUCAUACCAUCCAGGAUGGUUCAAAGCUUCUUUCACUGUUUUGGGUAUAGAGAUGGAGUCUAAAGAAGGAACCAAGGACCUCGACACAGAGGAUAAGCAAUCAUAGGAAACAAAAGUAACAAUGGAACCGGUGAAGAGCAAUAGAGAGAUCCAAAUUCUCUGAAGGAUCGGGUGAAGAAAGAUUUGAUAACAGAGGAACCGGUGCAGAACAUGUAUCGUCGAUCUCUUGUCUCCUUGAAUAAACUUGAACAAUUGGUGGUCUUGCUGGAGUAGAAGUUGUAGGCCCAAUAGUCAAUUGGUGUUCAAUAGGGGAACUAGGAGAUUGAAGUACAUUAUUUGAUUGUUCUGUCACAACCCGAGCAACCUGAUAGAGUAACCACUCAUCUUCCUCCUCUUGAGUUGUAUAAAUGGGAGGUGCAUGGAAGAAUGGUGGUCUCUGAAAAAUACCACAUCAUUUGACACCAAGUAUUUACCAAGCUUAGUAGAAUAACAUCGAUACCCCUUCUGAAGGCAUGAAUAACUCAAGAAAAUAGACUUCAAUGCCUUAGGAUCCAACUUGGUAACAGAUGGCUGAACAUCUCAAACAUAACACGUGCUUCCAAAUACCUUAGGCUCCACCGAAAAUAGUGACUUGUUUGGAAAAAUAACAUUGUAAGGCACAUUACCAACAAGAACAAUCGAUGGCAUGCGGUUAAUCAAAAAACAAGUUGUAGAGACUGCAUUAGCCCAAAAUUGUUUAGGAACCUUCAUUUGGAACAAAAGUGCUCGACUGUCUCAAGUAGAUGCCUAUUCUUUCUCUCAACAACUCCAUUUUAAGAGGGUGUAUCAACACAUGAAGUUUGAUGGAGAAUACCAUGUUGUCUCAUGUAGGACUGAAAUAAUUCUGACAUAUAUUCUUUAGCAUUAUCACUCCAUAGACUACGCAUUGAAGUAUUGAACUGAGUUUUGACUUCAGCACAAAAGUGAGUAAACACUUCAGAACGACUCUUCAUAAAGUAAAUCCAAGUCAUUCGAGAGAAAUCAUCCACAAAUGUGACAAAAUACUUAUGUCCAGUUUUGGAAACAACAGGACAUGGUCCCAAACAUCAACAUGAACUAACUCAAACUUCUUCCAUUAAAAAAGAAAAAGGUAGUCUUUAUCGACUCCACCCGCUUAUUAAUCUUGGAUUUGUUGAGCUACGAUGGUGUUUAGCAAAUUGACAUGACUCACAAUCUAGUGAAGGAAUAUUCUGAAACUGAGGACAGAGCUUCUUCAACAUAGGCAAAGAAGGAUGCCCUAAUCGACAAUGUGCCUCAAAUGGAGACACGACACAAGAGUAGGCAGCAAAUCGAGGCUCCCAAUAUUCAUCAAGAAUGUAGAAACUAUCAGAUACAUGUCCUUUACCAAUAACUUUAUUUGUCUUCAGAUCACGAAACAAACAAUGACCGACAAAAAUGAGAUAUAAUAGCCUAGGUAUCUGGUAAACUUUCUAACAGACAUCAAAUUAAAGGCUAACUUUGGUAGACCUAAUACAUAUCACAAGGUAAUGGAAGAAGUUAGUUUUACAGUCCCAGAUCCUAUAACAUUACAGAUUGAACCAUCAGCAACUGUCACAGGAGAGAGUGCUCCGUGUGAUUGAAAGCUAGAAUAUAUGUUAGGAUUACCUGUCAUGUGAUUUUCGAAGAGGAUAUAAGACAUGCUUUUCCUGACUCAACAAGGGUAGUAACUGAAAUAGAUUAUUUUUGUAAUUUUUGAUAUUGUGAGAAUUUUGUAAACUCUUUCGCCGAAAUCAAAAUUCUUUUAUCCGAAGACAUAUGAGCCACAAUUUUAGUCAUUCUCUCCAAAUAUUUUAGCAACACAAGAACUCAUCAACAAAAAUAUAACCAGAAGAAUGUAUGUGACCCCACAAAUACAGAUGAACAAAGUCUAAAAAUGGUUUUAUCAACUAAGAAACCAAUUGUCCACCCAAAAUAAAGGAACUGAGUACUUUACCGGUAGACAAGAGCACAUAGUGAACAAUCAAGUAGUUCAGAGAAAGAAAUCCUGAACCGCAACUUAUGAUAAAAAAACACCAAUUAUAUGAAAUGAAGUAGAAGCUAGAAGCCACAAAUCACAAACCAAAUUCAGUGUCGCAGAAUAGAAAUGAACCUGGAACGAACGAACUUUCCAGAUUGUAUUUUAACACCAAAAUAGACCUGAGAAGGGACGAACAAACAUUCCAGAUGGUAUUUUAACACUAGAGCACACUUGACAUUCGCCAGAAAUACGUUUCUAGAUUGUAUUUAACACCAAAAUAGACCUGAGAAUCGCUAGAAAUACGUGCCGAUGCUGGAAAUUCAAAAUCCAAUCAAUUCAGCCAGACACGCACCUUCACGUGCCGGUGCGUGAUGAACAAAAGAACCGUAUGAGCGGUGUGUGGCAACCACUCGCUUCACAACCAGAGGCCGGUGACGACUGGUUUGGCUGGAAAAUAUACUCCGCCUCCUUCUGUGGUGGUGAUAGUAGACUGACCACUUUAAAUCAGUGGAAUAGAAAUCCAAACUUCUUCCGUAACACAACCAAAACGAAACGAGCCUAUAAGCUCUGAUACCAUGUAAUUGAAUGGAAGAUCUUAUUCUUAUUCCAGUAGGUAAACAGUGAAUAAAUACAAUACAUAAGGUGCAGACUAAAGAAAGAAAUUAAGAGUGAUUCCCAUAGAGCUGCAGUGAUCCCUAUAAAUCUACUGCCUAUAUAGCUAUAUUACUAAGAUUAAGUCUAUAUACAUUCUAUAACAAUGAGUAUUUUCUUUUGAUAUUCUCAGUUUUAUUUACUUAUUGAUUUAUAUACAUUAUUGGAAAAUGUUGUAUGCGUUUUUUUUAUGCAACCCAGAAAAGAUUUUAAAAGUACAUAUCUUUUAGGGCAAAGUGUGCAAUUUUUGUAACUCUAGUUUAUCUAGGUCCUAGGAAUCACUUGGUGAAACUUAGUUCUUGUGGAAUUCCUAUCAAGUCAGGGUCUUGGGGAACCAAGUCAGAACCAUGAGGAAUCAAUCAAUUACGUUGAAUGUGCUUAGAGAUGUAUCAUAUGAUACCAGCCGACAUGUCUCAUGCCACCAAAAUGUUGUUACCGUGUGGGUAUUGGUCCAAUAACUGCAGUUUCCUGAAAAGUGCCUCUUUCCAGGGCGAAGGACGUUAAGAGCUUGCAAAAAAAUUGCUGAAUCAAUCCCUAAAUAGUACUUAGAAUAGAAUUUCUUUUCACCGAGUAAUAAGCAUGAAUAAAAAGUAAGCUCACGUGAAUAUUGAGUUAUACCUGUGAGUUAUUUUGUUAUGAAUCAUGAGCUUAGAUGAUUAGUUGGCAAGUAAAUAUCAAUAGCGGAUGAGGUAAUUACUUAGGGUUUUUAUUUUGGCGCAAUGUAGGUAGUCUCUACUGCAUAUUAUUCAACUCUUGUGGAGCUCUCUCGAAGGCUUUUUUUUGUGACAUGUACUUUAACUUUAUGCUUAUCUCAGCACUUCUAAAAUUUUGGAGUUUGGACUUGUUUAGUUACGUAAAUGGUUCAUUUGUUCUUGAUAAUUCAUUAUACUGAAAGUCCUAUACACCCAACUAAAUAUCCAAUUUAGAGUGGUAACGAAUCUUUAGAAGACCAAGAUCACACUGAACCAAUAAAAUACCCACUACCUUUUCCAAUUAGGCAUCUAUAACUGUGGUAAUUCGGAACAUUUCCAGUUAGUGAACUUUUAUUCGUUCCUUUAUUAUUUAUUCUAUUCUUGUGCUCCUUAAUCUUCUCUCCUCUUUGUUUUACUUGAAUUUAAGCCUCCAAUAGUAGUCCUGUUUCCUGUCUUGAUUUUUAGUCAUAUUCUUCUACCCUUUCUAUAGUGAGACCCAGAAAUGGCUCAAGGUACUUGUGCGAUUCUUAGUAUGCAUCGCUCCUUAACAGCCCCCCACUUUGAUGCCUUGAAACCCAAGUAUUCUGGUCCAUAUGUCAAGGAUACAGCCAAGUUUGUAGCCUGUCCAACAUCACACUUUGGUAUUUAAUAAGAUCAUUCUUUCAGUCAUUUGUUCGCUUAUCUCAACAGUAAAGUCAACUAUCAAUGUGAUUUGAUUUUCUGACUGGCUUAUAAAUUGCUUGAUUUUCAUACUAGCUUUUGUUGAGUUUAGUUGGUGAUGUUAUUUAGUUUGGGAACAGGGAGACAGGUGUUUGGAAUUUGUGUAGGGUUGCAUUCUGUUAAAUUGUAAAGAUAUUGAAAUCACAAUGAACCAACAUAGCACAAUCGAUCUGAAACAUGGAUGGGACUUCAUGCAAAGGGGCAUUACAAAAUUGAAGAACAUUCUAGAAGGGCUGCCUGAGCCUCAGUUCAGCUCAGAGGACUAUAUGAUGCUGUAUACGUAUCCUUUUAGACUCCCACACUGUUAGGCAUGUUGAUAACUUGGAUUUGAUUCACCUUUUGUUUCCUUAAUUCUACUAACAGGACAAUUUACAACAUGUGUACUCAGAGGCCCCCACAUGAUUAUUCUCAACAGCUGUAUGACAAAUAUCGUGAACCUUUUGAAGAAUAUUUCACAACAACGGUAAGGGUAGCUGCAGUUUUCAUAAGCAUUUCACUUUAGUAGAGAUUAAACAAGGUACUACAAUAAAACAAGAAAAAAAAGAAUUGAAGAAGUAUUAUUCUUAAUAAUUCUUUGAUGUUUGUAUAUCCAUGUACCAUUCUUGAUUGUUUGCUCUCUAUGUAUCAUUCUGGAAUGUUUGGAACUUAUAAAAAUGAUUUCUGUAAUAAAGAAACAGAAAAUCAUUAGUCUGGUGAGCCCUUUGUUGCUGUUUUAUUUUUUGAUUUUAGCGAUGUAAACAAAGUGGGGUUAGUAUGGGUAGUUUCCGUGGUUCCCUCUGUGAUUUUAUUUUAUGCCCUCUAUUAUUUUAUUUAAUAAGGAUCCAUGUGCAAGUAUCAACAUUUUUAUGGGAUCUGAACGUAAUUCAAGCAUUGCUUUCCCAAGAGGCAUAUUAUCUUUUAGUUUUAUUCCCUCUAUCAUGAGAUUCAAAUUUAGAAAGGCUGCUCUUGCUGCUUCUUCAUCCCAUAGAAUAUUAAGAAAAGGAUACGGGGAAAGUGGAUAGAAGUUUCAAAACACAGCUAAAUUUCAUGGAUCUUUUUGUAUGUUAUUUUAGGCAUGCAAUUUUGCUUAGGAGUUUAAAAUGAUGAAAACUCAAAUUUGGCUUAAAGAUUGUUUACCUAAUUUUUGUUUCUCCAAAUAAUUCUACCUUCUCUAAAUUUGACACUGCAAUUCAAUUUCAAAAUAGGUAUUGCCUUCUUUGAGAGAAAAACAUGACGAGUUCAUGUUGCGAGAGCUGGUAAAACGGUGGUCAAAUCAUAAGAUCAUGGUCAAAUGGUUGUCUAGAUUCUUCCAUUAUCUUGACUGCUAUUUCAUUGCCCGGAGAUCUCUGCCGGGGCUUAAUGAAGUUGGAUUAACUUGCUUCCGUGAUCAGGUAAUUAUGGUUCUCCUUCUCUUUUCAAUCAAAACUUUGUUUCUAUGGUCAUCUAUUAAAACAUCUCCACCUGAUCCCUUGGUCAAAGCACUGAGUUCAGCUCAUGGCUUCUAUAGUGAUUUUUUUUAAUUCUGUUUUCUGGGUUUUGCCUAUUCUAGAAUUCGGUUUUCAGUUUGACAGUAUACUCAACUGCUUCCACGUCCUUUUACGAAAAGAUGUUACCAUUUAGUCCCUGCAUCUCAAUUAUGUGAAGGUGUUUGACUGGGCACACAGUUUAAGAGAAAAAGAAAGAAUUUUGAAACUUGUGGUAUAAAGUAAGCUAUAGAAACUUUGUGAGUAUAAAGUAAAACAAGAAAUGUGAAUUUAAAUUGUUACUUAUUAUGGAUAGAUGUCCCUUUUUUGAGGACUGACUAAAAUAUAAAGAGUAUCACAUAAAUUGAAACAGAGGUAAUAUCUUACUGGGUGACUGUUUUCUAUUUUAGGUCUACCAAGAGUUGAAUGGAAAAGUCAGGGAUGCUGUUAUAUCUUUGGUAUCUCCUUUGUCUUGCUUUGAGUUCUCACUACCAUUUCUUUUUUCCUUUUAAUUGAGCAAUAACAUUCCUCUAACCAGAUUGAUCAAGAGCGUGAGGGAGAGCAAAUUGACAGAGCUCUACUAAAGAAUGUGCUAGAUAUAUUUGUUGAAAUGGGAAUGGGGUCGAUGUAUUAUUAUGAGUACGAUUUUGAAGAUGCAAUGCUCAAGGACACUGCGGCUUAUUAUUCUUGCAAAGCUUCUAACUGGAUCCUCGAAGAUUCAUGUUCAGAUUAUAUGCUAAAAGUUAGUAUACCGCGUAUGCAACCCCUUGAUUCUGCCAUUCUUGCCCUGUUGUUUCUUCUGUCUAUCUUUUUUCUGGUUAAUGUCCAUAUGUUAACCUACAUAAUCAUGUCAAUGUUACUUUAGGCUGAGGAGUGCUUGGAACGAGAGAAGGAUAGGGUCUCUCAUUAUCUCCAUUCAAGCAGCGAGACAAAGUUGCUUGAGGUUCGUUCUAGCUCUUAAUCUUUUUUCUUUACUGGAACUUUAGCCUUCAAGAUGGAGGAUGUUGCUAUCAGUUUUUGUUGUUCACAUCUUCUUUUUUCUGGAUCUAAUCUAUCAACUUUAAAUUAGUUGCAACCUUACUAGUCUCUCCUUUCUACAGAAAGUGCAACAUGAGUUGUUGUCUGUGUAUGGCACUCAACCUCUUGAGAAGGAGCACUCUGGAUGCCAUGCGUUACUAAGAGAUGAUAAGGUAGCUAGCAGCAUCUUAAUGACCACGUUUCGGAUUUUAUAUUUGCAGUAAUUGACACAAUCAUGAUUAUUUAAUUAGGUUGAAAAUUUAUCAAGGAUGUAUAGGUUCUUUUCUAAGAUUCCUCAAGGCUUAGACCCUGUGGCCAAUAUUUUUAAGCAGGUUUGUGAUCUCAUGACAUCAUAUUCUCGAUUGUAUACCAAUAAGUUACUUCACAUAUCCUUCUUUUUAAUCUGAAUGCAGCAUGUUACUGCUGAAGGUGCAGCUUUGGUAAAACAGGCUGAAGAUGCUGCUAGCAACAAAAAGGUUUGUACAAUCUAUCCUUUUCAAAUUCUUUGGUCUUGAGAAAUUUGGUUCUUCCUUAUUUGGCGUUUAUACACUUUGAGUUGACUUGGAACUUGUCAAACUAGAAGUUUUUGCUAUUUUAAUAUGCUAAGUUACUUGUGUUCAAGUGUCUGAUCAACUUAAUUUCAUAUUUUAGCACACCAUUUCUGACAUCAAUACUUUUAAGUUUAAAAGCUAUCUACUCUAGCUCCCAAGUCUUAGGAAAUACAAAUACCCCCUGCCACUCAAGUUUUAGAAAAUACAAACUAACCACUUACUAUAAAUAUUUUAGAAAUUUUAAAAAAAUUACAACAUCUGUUUCUUACCCACCAAAAUCUCUCCUUCCUUGCCAAUUUUCUGUCAUCCAGCUUGUUUUCCCGCAAAAAAUUGAAGCAUUUCACUGGAAAAUUACUCCACAUGACGAAAACCUCCUCAAGAUCAGCCAUUGUAGUUCCCCAUUAUUGUAGAAGCUCGAAAUAUUUCAUCCAUUAUAGAAGAAGCUCAUUUUUCCAGCAGCCUCUUUCCAGUCAUUCUCCAGCGACAUUUUGUUUUUACAUUUCACCAUUUUAGUAGCUCAUCUGACCUGUGAGAGAUCUAUCCCCGUGGUUUUCUUUUUUCUAGUAUUCUACAAUCAUCAAGCAGUGAGCAGUAGCAUCGACCAUUACUGGUUUAUUACAUCGUUUGCUGAAUAUAGUGGUGAUUAUGGUGGUGAAUGGGAGGAGACUUCAAAAUGUUGGAAGUGGAACUCUCUGAGUAAGGUGACAGUGUCCAUUGUCCUGCGUUGCAAUAGUACAUAUGACGACAUGGUUGAGGGAAUUAUUGAAUGCAGGGAAUUAAAUUGUGAACCGAGCAACUUGAUCAUUAGUUAUGGAUGAAUGCUAAGGGAAACAUCCAUCCAUCUUUCAUAACAAAUGAUAGGCACGUGGGGUUGUACAUGCUUGAUGUUGUCCCUGAUGGUUCUAGACUAGUUUUCUGGGUUAAAGUUGUUGAGAGGCAUGAAGAAGAAGAAGGUUCAACACCAUUAGGGUGGCUUGGGUGGGGGGGUUUGUCCCUAGAAAAUGCUUGAUAUAAAUAUUAGAGAAAGGGAAAUCCAUUCAUUAGAAAGCUCGUGCUGCUUCACAAAACAUCAAGAAAAAAGUGAUUGUAAACUCAGUGAAAAAAGUGACACCAAGUUCAGGGAGCUUUCUCAAAAAAUAGCAAUCCCUUGAAAAGGGGAGAUGACUGCUAGAAUAUAUUGUGUAUCAUAUCUUGAGUUGUCAGUUUGUGAGACUAGCAAUUUAUUGCUGAUUAGAGCAUUUUGCUUCAUUUUGUUUUGGGGGUGGGGGGUGGGGGUUCCCACCCAGUGUUCAAUACCCGCAUUGGGGCUCGAGUAAAUCCGGAUUCGCGCCGGAAUGUCUCACAGUGGGGUAAAGCGCUCCGUAAUAAAUGAAACUCGGUAACCAAGGGAACUCGAACGGAGUCCUGAUUAAGGAGUAUGGAGUACAUAGCACUCCACCAUAACCCUUGCUCGUAGCAUAUUGCUAUUCUGCUUAUUUUAAUUGCCAGUUUGUGCUUUUGAUGAGUUUUGUUCAGAGAUUUCUUUUUAACAUCAUCUCCUCUUUUUUAUCAAAAGCAUGAAGUCACAAAGUUUGACUUCAUCUCAGUGAUUGUUUUGUUUCAUUUACUUUAUUUAUCCUUCAGUACAUGAUCAUUGAUAAUUUUGGUGGUUGGGAAUGUUACUUCAAAGAAGUGGUAAUGUUCUUUAAAGCAAAACCCCCCCAUCAAGUGCCUUUUGUUGCAUUUCCUUCUUCUAUGUAUCUUAACUUUUCCCCUUAUGCUGUUUAGAACAAUGCCAGAAUUAAUUCAUUUUAUCUUUUUAGGGAUGAGACUGGUAUUUCUUUGUGAAUGCAUUUAAUAUAAUUGCUCAAUGUCUUGCAUUCUUUCUUAUCAACUAGUGUUCUUCAACAGGCAGAUAAGAGAGAUGUGGUUGGUUUGCAGGAACAGGUAAUCCCUUAGUAAAUCUGUUAUCUGGUCCUUGAAUAUGUUUUCGGCUGUUAACUUACUUCUGAAUUUUCAGGUUUUUGUUGGGAAAGUGAUUGAGCUUCAUGAUAAAUAUUUGGCAUAUGUGAAUAACUGUUUCCAAAACCACACACUUUUUCACAAGGUAUGUGUUGGAGCAAAGGAUAGUUGUCUAAUUUAAUUGUUCUACUCUGUGCAUUAGGUCUGUGCAUCAGGGUAAAAGUAAAUUACUAACAUAUGUCCUCUUUGUCACUUUCUAGGCACUUGAAGAAGCUUUCGAACUUUUCUGCAACAAGGGUGUUGCUGGUAGCUCAAGCACUGAACUUCUUGCCACAUUCUGCGACGUCAUUCUCAAAAAAGGAGAGAGUGAAAAAUUGAGUGAUGAAGCCAUGGAAGAGAUAUUGCAGAAGGUGAGCUCUUGCUCUAUAGAUCCCCUUCUCUUCUUUUUCUCAAGAGCAUCUGCUUUUUCUUCGUACUAAUGGAGCAGGAGAAAGCUGAUAAUAGAUCUCACUUGCAGGUGGUAAAGCUGCUAGCUUAUAUUAGUGAUAAGGACUUGUUUGCAGAGUUCUAUAGGUAGAGUUACCUCUACUGUGUAUCUCAACCACUACUUGAAUAGUUGCUUCUUCUCUGUUACAAGUUUAUGACUUCCGUUUUUUUCCAGGAGAAAACUAGCCCGGCGGUUGUUAUUUGAUAACAGUGCCAAUGAUGAACAUGAGAGAAGUGUCCUAAGAAAGUUGAAGCAGCAGUGUGGGGGACAGUUCACAUCAAAGAUGGAGAGAAUGGUAAGCUAUCCAGAUCAAUUAUGCUGAAUUUGAAGCUAUGUUCUCUGGUGACAUUUUUCUUCUCUUCUUAUAGGUCACAGAUUUGACAUUGGCAAGGGAAAAUCAAGGCAACUUUGAGGAGUAUUUGAGCAAUAAUCCAAUAGCAAAUCCAGGAAUUGACUUGACGGUGACUGUCUUGACUACUGGCUUCUGGCCUAGCUACAAGUCUUUUGAUCUCAACCUCCCAGCAGAAAUGGUAUAUCAUAUCAAUAUGUUAAUUAGCAUUAUGUUGAUUUUAUCUUGGUUUUGACCCUUGUUCCUCUUGCUGAAGUUCUUAUCUUUCGGCAAGGAAUGAUGCAUGUUUUUUUGCUUGAAUCAUUUUUCUUCUCAAACGUCCUUUCAUUGAUUCAUUUUAUGCUGCGCAUUGUCAGGUUAGGUGCGUUGAAGUAUUCAAGGAGUUUUAUCAAACAAAAACGAAGGACAGGAAACUUACGUGGAUAUACUCUUUGGGAACUUGCAACAUAAAUGGAAAUUUUGAGCCGAAGACUGUUGAGCUCGUUGUCACUACUUAUCAGGUUGAUUUUUGGCUUACUUUUUGAAAUCGGAUAGGCUUAGUUGAUUUGAAAUAUUGGUAUUAUGUUAUCAAUGAGAAAACGAGAUUGAGACUUCUUCCUUUUUCGUAGGCUUCUGCUCUGUUGCUCUUUAAUGCAUCAGAUAGAUUGAGUUAUCAGGAAAUCAUGACGCAAUUAAACCUAUCAGAUGAUGAUGUUGUUCGGCUUCUUCAUUCCCUUUCAUGUGCGAAGUACAGGAUUCUCAACAAGGAGCCAAGCACCAAAACAAUUUCUCCGACUGAUAUCUUUGAGUUCAACUCAAAGUUCACUGACAAAAUGAGGAGGAUCAAGGUAUAAUUAAUGAUGAGUAAGGCUAGCCUUUCUGCUAUGAAUUGUUGCACUACAUUACUGACCUUUUAAGGAUAUCGUUGUAAUGGUAUGCAGAUACCUCUCCCUCCUGUCGGUGAGAAGAAAAAGGUAAUUGAAGACGUUGACAGGGAUAGGCGGUAUGCUAUAGAUGCUUCAAUUGUGCGUAUUAUGAGGAGUCGUAAAGUAAUUGCCUACCAGCAACUGGUUGUGGAAUGCAUUCAGCAGUUGGGACAGAUAUUCAAGGUAUCCCCAGGAUAAACUUCUACUUCUCAAUUUUAAAGAUCGUUUUUCCAGUUUAACUGAGCUAAUUACUUUGUUUUGAAUACCCCAUAGCCUGAUGUCAAAGCUAUCAAGAAGAGAGUCGAAGAUUUGAUAAGUAGAGAAUACCUAGAGAGGGACAAAGAUAACCCAAAUUUGUUCAAGUACUUGGCAUGAUUUGUGCUGAUCAUAAUACUUGGAGAAACAGGCCGCCCAAGAUGAACUUCUUGGACCUUUGAUUGCCUUGCAUCAGGAGCUUGAAACAUUUUGUACAAAUGGACAAGAGCUUGAAACUCUCAUAUACUUGAGAUGUGAUUGCCUUAACUUCUUCCAAUCUUAUAUGGCCCUUUCACUUGCUCUAUUCUGUGUUUUGUUGGCUACCUGUUUGAGUAAACGUAAUAUCCUAGUCAACAGCUUACCCUCCCUAGAUUCAGCACAAUGGUAUUUACUUUUAGUACAUGCUCUGCAAUUGUACUUUGUUGGUUCUUUGUAGAUUGUGAUUUGGACCUUGGUGGUCCUUGUGGGGUUAUCUUUUAACCUUGUGCAAGUUUAUUGGAUCUGGGCCCUCAUGUUUCAACAGUUCUCUCUCUUGAAUGAAUCACUUCCUAAUUUUUAGGUCC